GGGGUUGUGCCUCAGUGGUAGAGUGCUCACCUAGCACAUGUGAGGCACUGGGUUCAAUCCUCAGCACCACA
rnacentral:tRNA from 1 species